GACUCCUUCACUUUCCACAAACAAGCCACAGACGAGGGCAGCUAAUUGUCUAUUCAAGCUCUACCAGAAAUAAACCACCACAAGACAAUAUCAGCACAACUUGGGAGGCUGUUUCCAAAACUUAGAAAUGAAGGUGGUAACCAUACUAAAGAGCCAAUCUUUUUUCUCAAGGCUGAUUUUGCUGAGUAAGGAUUUGAUUGCCAUGGAUGCCAUCUUUUUACACAUGGCAGAGUCAUCGUUCACCAUCAUCAGACAAAGAGGAAUAAAGAACAUUCCGCAGUUCUCGUGGAGCAGCCCCUGAAGAGAAAACAGACACGCCAACGGGAGUUCUCACAGGCGUCCUACCAAGGCCCACGGGAGCCACAGCAAACAAACACAAGCACGGAGCUUGUCUCUGGUUCACGGUACCUGAGGGAAUGUGUCAAAGAGGAAGCAUGCCUCAUUUUACAGAUGAAGAGAAUGAAGCUGGCACACAGAGGUAAGUCACUUGCUCAGGUGACAGUGCCAGAAUUUUGACUGCCUGCCUGCAUCCAAAGGCUCUGCUUUCAAACCACUGUAUUACUCAGCUUCCUUUAUUAAUAAACUGAGA